CAGAGUUGCAAAACUCCCAAACCAUUGUGAACGUCACCUUAUAUCGUUGCUUCGGCGGGUGGUUCCCACUCGGGUACCGCAUCUCCCCCUCGGGGUAGGUAACCCGCCGGAGGCGUCUCAACUCUUGAUUUUAAUUGGCAUCUCUGAGUAACUUAUAAAAUAAGUCA
rnacentral:misc_RNA from 1 species